rnacentral:misc_RNA from 1 species
UUUCCGUAGGUGAACCUGCGGAAGGAUCAUUAAAGUUAUAGUCCCCCGGCCCCUCCGGGCUGGGGUCUUCUAUACCACCCUUUGUUUAUUACACCUUUGUUGCUUUGGCAGGCCUGCCCUCGGGCUGCUGGCUCCGGCCGGCUCGUGCCUGCCAGAGGACCUAAACUCUGUUUGUAUAUGAAGUCUGAGUACUAUAUAAUAGUUAAAACUUUCAACAACGGAUCUCUUGGUUCUGGCAUCAAUGAAGAACGCAGC